rnacentral:lncRNA from 1 species
GUGUGUGUGUGUGUGUGUGUGUGUGUGUGUGUGUGUGUGUGUGUGUGUGUGUUUGUGUGUGUGUAUCUGUAUGUGUGUUCAUGUACACACAUGAACAUGCUUAUAAGGCCAGGAUUGGGUAGCAAUGGGGGUUUAAUGUGGCAGUCCACAGUGGUCCAGGAUCGUACUAACUAUGUCAGUAGCCUCUUCAGUCCUCACCACUAAUCCUCACAGCAUCCCACUGCAGAAGGGCCAUCACUCAAAAGAGACCAGAUUGGGGUAUGGGAGUCAUUUGCCCCAAACAACACAGCAGUGAGAGGACAGUGCCCGAUACAGUUGGGGUCUGAAAUGUCCCCCAGUGGCCGUGUGCUAAAGGCUUGUUCUCUAGCCUGAGGCAGUGGGGGAAGUGAUACUACUUUAGGAUAUAGGGUCUAUUUGGAGGAAGUAGGUCACUAUAGGCCUGCCAUAAUGGAUCCUGCAACAGUAUCCUUUCACAAUCAUCAUGGCGCUUAGAUCUAUUAAACAUGUCUCACAACAGGACAAGAAACACUGAAGUCAAGAGAGCACAGAUGGAAACCUCUGAAAUCAUGAACCUGGAUGAACCCUCAUCCUUGCUGAGAAGAGACAAAAACAGAAGAUGGCAAAACUGCGGUUGCUGCCCUCGAGGUGCUAGGAGAAUCAAGACUUACGUUUCCAGUAUGUAAACUGUGACCAGACUCCCUGCAUGGAGGAUCCUGGACAAUUCCC